rnacentral:rRNA from 1 species
UACGGAGGGUGCAAACGUUGCUCGGAAUCAUUGGGCGUAAAGCGUGUGUAGGUGGUCUGUUAAGUCGGGUGUGAAAGCCCUGGGCUCAACCCAGGAAGUGCAUUCGAAACUAACAGACUUGAGUACGGGAGAGGGUCGCGGAAUUCCCGGUGUAGAGGUGAAAUUCGUAGAUAUUCGCAAGAACACCGGUGGCGAAGGCGGCCAACUGGACCAUUACUGACGCUGAGGCGCGAAAGCGUGGGGAGCAAACAGG